GAUGAACGCUGGCGGCGUGCCUAAUACAUGCAAGUCGAGCGAACAGACGAGGAGCUUGCUCCUCUGACGUUAGCGGCGGACGGGUGAGUAACACGUGGAUAACCUACCUAUAAGACUGGGAUCACUUCGGGAAACCGGAGCUAAUACCGGAUAAUAUAUUGCACCGCAUGGUUCAAUAGUGAAAGACGGUUUUGCUGUCACUUCUAGAUGGAUCCGCGCCGCAUUAGCUAGUUGGUAAGGUAACGGCCUACCAAGGCAACGAUGCGUAGCCGACCUGAGAGGGUGAUCGGCCACACGGGAACUGAGACACGGUCCAGGCGCCUACGGGAGGCAGCAGUAGGGAAUGUGACGCAAUGGGCGAAAGCCUGACGGAGCAAGGCCGCGUGAGUGAUGAAGGUCUUCGGAUCGUAAAACUCUGUUAUUAGGGAAGAACAAAUGUGGAAGUAACUAUGCACGUCUUGACGGUACCGGAUCAGAAAGCCACGGCUAACUACGUG
rnacentral:rRNA from 1 species